UACAUGUGGGGCAAGCGUUGUUCGGAAUUACUGGGCAUAAAGGGUGCGUAGGCGGUUUGUUAAGUCACUGGUGAAAGUUUUCGGCCCAACCGGAAAAUUGCCUGUGAUACUGGCGAACUUGAGUGCGUGAGGGGUGGGGGGAACGAGCAGUGUAGCGGUGAAAUGCGUAGAUAUUGCUCGGAAGGCCGGAGCCGAAGGGGCCCCACUGGUACGUAACUGACGCUGAGGCACGAAAGCGUGGGGAGCAACAGG
rnacentral:rRNA from 1 species